rnacentral:lncRNA from 1 species
GGUGUGCUGAAUUGAACCAUCCACAUAAGACAUGUUGAAGUUAGGAGAUACAUAAAAAUUAGGGAGUGUUAAUUUGAAUCACCCACAUAGAGGCUGUUAAUUGCACGAGAUGUGCAAGGGUGUCAGGAUGUGCCAACUUUGAAUCACCAACAUAUGAGAUGUCAGAUGCAAGAGUCACAUGAGAGUGUUGAGGCAUGAUGAAUAAGUGACAUAGGAUGCACGAAGGCAUAUG